rnacentral:rRNA from 1 species
UACGGAGGGUGCGAGCGUUGUCCGGAAUCACUGGGCGUAAAGGGCGCGUAGGCGGACAGUUUAGUCAGAGGUGAAAGCCCAGGGCUCAACCUUGGAAUUGCCUUUGAUACUGGCUGUCUUGAGUUCGGGAGAGGUGAGUGGAAUGCCGAGUGUAGAGGUGAAAUUCGUAGAUAUUCGGCGGAACACCAGUGGCGAAGGCGACUCACUGGCCCGAUACUGACGCUGAGGCGCGAAAGCGUGGGGAGCAAACAGG